rnacentral:rRNA from 1 species
CUACGGGACGCUGCAGUGGGGAAUUUUGCACAAUGGGCGCAAGCCUGAUGCAGCGACGCCGCGUGGAGGAUGAAGGAUUUAGGUUCGUAAACUCCUGUUAAGUGGGAAAAAAGACUCAGCGUUAAUAGCGUUGGGGGAUGAUGGUACCACUAGAGAAAGCACCGGCAAACUUCGUGCCAGCAGCCGCGGUAAUACGAGGGGUGCAAGCGUUAUUCGGAUUUACUGGGCGUAAAGGGCGUGUAGGCGGCUUCUUAAGUCAUCUGUUAAAGGCCAUCGCAUAACGAUGGAGCGGCGGGUGAAACUGGGAGGCUAGAGGAUAGGAGAGAGAAGUGGAAUUCUCGGAGUAGCGGUUAAAUGCGUAGAUCUCGAGAGGAACACCGAUGGCGAAGGCAGCUUCUUGGCCUAUAUCUGACGCUGAGGCGCGAAAGCGUGGGGAGCAAACAGGAUUAGAUACCCGGGUAGUC